rnacentral:lncRNA from 1 species
AACUCGAACUCCAGGCUGUCAUGGCGGCAGGACGGCGAACUUGCAGUAUCUCCACGACCCGCCCCUGUGCCAGUGCCUCCAGAAUGUGGCAGCUCACAAGCCUCCUGCUGUUCGUGGCCACCUGGGGAAUUUCCGGCACACCAGCUCCUCUUGGUGCUGCGGAUCCGCAAACGUGCCAACUCCUUCCUGGAGGAGCUCCGUCACAGCAGCCUGGAGCGGGAGUGCAUAGAGGAGAUCUGUGACUUCGAGGAGGCCAAGGAAAUUUUCCAAAAUGUGGAUGACACACUGGCCUUCUGGUCCAAGCACGUCGACGGUGACCAGUGCUUGGUCUUGCCCUUGGAGCACCCGUGCGCCAGCCUGUGCUGCGGGCACGGCACGUGCAUCGACGGCAUCGGCAGCUUCAGCUGCGACUGCCGCAGCGGCUGGGAGGGCCGCUUCUGCCAGCGCGGUGAGGGGGAGAGGUGGAUGCUGGCGGGCGGCGGGGCGGGGCUGGGGCCGGG